AUGGGUUGUAAACUGCUUUUUGUACGGGAAGAACUACAUCUACGAGUAGAUGUUUGACGGUACCGUAAGAAUAAGGAUCGGCUAACUCCGUGCCAGCAGCCGCGGUAAUACGGAGGAUCCGAGCGUUAUCCGGAUUUAUUGGGUUUAAAGGGUGCGCAGGCGGGUAUGUAAGUCAGAGGUGAAAUUCCACGGCUCAACUGUGGGACUGCCUUUGAUACUGUGUAUCUAGAGUAUAUUUGGAGUGGGCGGAAUGUAGCAUGUAGCGGUGAAAUGCUUAGAUAUGCUACAGAACACCGAUCGUGAAGACAGCUCACUAAACUAUAACUGACGCUCAGGCACGAAAGCGUGGGGAGCAAACAGGAUUAGAUACCCUGGUAGUCCACGCCGUAAACGAUGAUUACUCGCUGUUGGCGAUACACAGUCAGCGGCUAAGCGAAAGUGAUAAGUAAUCCACCUGGGGAGUACGAUCGCAAGAUUGAAACUCAAAGGAAUUGACGGGGGCCCGCACAAGCGGAGGAGCAUGUGGUUUAAUUCGAUGAUACGCGAGGAACCUUACCUGGGCUCGAACGUAGUGUGACUAAGUGUGAAAGCAUUUAUUUCUUCGGAACAGACUACGAGGUGCUGCAUGGUUGUCGUCAGCUCGUGCCGUGGGGUGUUAGGUUAAGUCCUGCAACGAGCGCAACCCCUAUUCUUAGUUGCCAGCAUGUCAUGAUGGGGACUCUAGGAAAACUGCCUACGCAAGUAGUGAGGAAGGCGGGGAUGACGUCAAAUCAGCACGGCCCUUACGUCCAGGGCUACACACGUGCUACAAUGGCCGGUACAGAGGGCAGCUACACAGCGAUGUGAUGCGAAUCUCGAAAGCCGGUCUCAGUUCGGAUUGGAGUCUGCAACUCGACUCCAUGAAGUUGGAUUCGCUAGUAAUCGCGCAUCAGCCAUGGCGCGGUGAAUACGUUCCCGGGCCUUGUACACACCGCCCGUCAAGCCAUGGAAGCUUGGGGUACCGAAGUCCGGACCCACAAGGAGCGGCCUAGGGAAAACA
rnacentral:rRNA from 1 species